GAUGAACGCUAGCGGCAGGCUUAAUACAUGCAAGUCGUGGGGCAGCAUGAGUAGCAAUACUUGAUGGCGACCGGCAAACGGGUGAGGAACACGUACACAACCUUCCUUCAAGCGGGGAAUAGCCCAGAGAAAUUUGGAUUAAUACCCCAUAAUAUAUUUGAUAAGGCAUCUUAUUAAAUAUUAAAGCUUCGGCACUUGAUGAUGGGUGUGCGGCUGAUUAGAUAGUUGGCGGGGUAACGGCCCACCAAGUCUACGAUCAGUAGCUGAUGUGAGAGCAUGAUCAGCCACACGGGCACUGAGACACGGGCCCGACUCCUACGGGAGGCAGCAGUAAGGAAUA
rnacentral:rRNA from 1 species